UAUCAAGAAAUGAAGAAUGCCUGCAGGCGGGUAAUUCAUAUAAAACUAAAGGGGAAACUGAUGGUUUUAGGAAUUGAAAAGGUGACCAUCGCAAGCGGUUAUACGAAACGAUGGGGGAUCAUCAAGACCACCGUAGGACGUUAACACAGAGCCAGGAGGCCAGAUCUAUACAUUACCGGUAACACUGGUAAUACAGAACGCGAAAUGUCUGUGUUAAAACAUGGGAGCGAUAUCGAUGUGACUGUCAAUGACACGACCGAGCUGACCACGUUGGCGUAUUCAAAGAUCCUGGCUUGUCCUGGUUAGCCAAAAUCUCCUUUACUCUGGAUAAAGGAUGAAAUGUGCCCUGAUCCGACUUACAUGCUGAAGAAGAGUAGCUUGAUGAAUUCUUCCAGAAUGGGUGGUUUCCAGAUGAAUAGAAGAACGGCGCCAGUGGAAUAUAUCGGAUGUACUAGA